CUAUCUUCUGGGAAGAGGGAAUAGAAAAUUAGUUCAAUGUGGGAUUUUCAUAUGCUUUUUUUCCCCCCUUCUGAAUUCUCCAAAAUUUCACUUUCAGUUUGGCCCUUUCUUGAACCACGUGACCCAAUAGGAAGGCUUCACCAACCAGCUACGUGUCAGACUCGUACACUUAACAUGAUAGCAUUCUAACAAAUAUUAGUGUAUUCCAACCUUCCUUGCACAAUUACUGCUUUAUGUAUUAUUGCCUUUAGUAGUUACAUAACUAUUUUGCACAGGUAAAUUCAUCUCACAGAUCUUCAGGACUGUUGUACUGAAGCCAGUUACAAAGGACUUUUUUCUUUGGACUUUUUCAGUAAAUAGCUUUUGAGAAUUGGAGAAGAUUGAGAGAAUACCUACGCUGCCUCCACUAAAAGACUGGAAACUACUCUUCUGUGAAGUGGAAUGAUAUUUUCAUGGCUAAUGCUGAAAGCAGUGUGCAUACAGAUGGAAUUACACACCUAUUUCAAAGUGAAACGUUAAUUUAUUCAGUGGAAGAAUGCACUUCUAGUGACUGUGCCUCAAUAAAACCUCAGUCUGGCUGUGAAACUUGAUUUCCAUUACCAGCUACAGAAGAAGGAGCUACUAUUCUAGUUACUGCAAGUUUUUUAUUACUGUAACUAUAUUCUGGGUGCUUGGUGCCUAUGGCAGUAGUACAUUUUUACUGCAUAAUAACAAAUCAAUUAUUCCAGUAUAGCUAUAAAUAUUUACGGUCAGUGGGAAAGGCUAAUAUAUCCUCCUGUUAUACUCUGCCUUGAACAUUCAUUGUUAUAUUAUUUCUAGUGUCUUUAGUCAAGUAUUUCUAUAUCAUUUAGAACUGCCAAUCCAAUCCAUUUAUUGGAAUUUUUAAUUUCUGGAAGUCUCUGUGUAGAAUGGCUCUUCCAGUGUCUUGAGAUUCGAUCUACUUAUGCAAGAUAUAUAAGUAAAUUUGAAAUUAUAUGUUUAAUGAUGAAAAUCAGAUCUUAUGCUGAAAAUUACUUGAGGCAGACAUGAAGUCUCCCCAAUCUUGCAAAGCGGAGUUUCAAAUAAACCUGUGAUGCUUG
ensembl:lncRNA